UACGUAGGGGGCAAGCGUUGUCCGGAUUUACUGGGCGUAAAGGGCGCGUAGGCGGUGUGUCAAGUCAGGCGUGAAAGCCCCGGGCUCAACCUGGGAACCGCGCUUGAGACUGGCACGCUCGAGUUCGGGAGAGGAUGGUGGAAUUCCCAGUGUAGAGGUGAAAUUCGUAGAUAUUGGGAAGAACACCGAUGGCGAAGGCAGCCAUCUGGACCGACACUGACGCUGAGGCGCGAAAGCGUGGGGAGCAAACAGGG
rnacentral:rRNA from 1 species